CAAGGAGUUGGAAGCCUUUAGUCAUUGCAACGUUGAAGCUCAAGUCUUCUGCUCGUUCCGUGCUCUGAGCAGCUUUAUCGUGCGGUUAGAGAAAUGCAAGACCUGGCAGUGUCAGGAUUACAUGCCAAAGGAAGGGAGCAGAGUGUGAGCAUCAAGCCUCCAGCUCUCCUGGUGCCCUGAGAAGAAAAGGUGCUCAGUUUGCCGACUGGUAAUCACCAAGUUGGCAUGACUGCCCCAAAAGGGGAACUUGCUGAUGGAAGUUGCUUGCUGCUACUUGCUUAGCAGGUUCCAGCAAAGCAACUGUCCUUAUUGGACCAUGAGAUGUGACUUGGUCUCCCGUGAACAGAUGUGUUCCUCUGGAAAUCAUCUCGAAUUUUGGCUAACAGGGAGGAUGAUCAAAAUAACAUGGGGUUAUAAUUCCAUCUGUGGUAUAGUUAUAGAAUAAAUUUUCAGUCUGUAAAGGGAAGGGUCUAUGCUGAGGGCUAUCUAGUAAGCAGUAUGAAGCUAAAGAUAAUAAACCAUUUUUAAAACAUUUUUGGUCUUGUAGAUAAUGUGUUAUUUAUUGGUUUAUUGUUCUGUUUAAGAUUUAACUGUAUAUUGUGAUUAUAUGUUUCUCUUGCAAAGUUUUUUUUAAAGCUGACUUUCUUGGCUUGUGUUUUUUAUUGAUAUUAAAGAA